rnacentral:pre_miRNA from 1 species
UGGACAGAUUAUUGUAUUCUACUAUAUUCGACCGUAUCAACGGCGUGAAAUUGGGGAUUACACUGUUUUUAAAAGGGAAAGUGAAUCAAUUAACAUAAUAGACUCCU